GUCCCCAUGGUUCAAUGGAUAGAGCGUGGGCUUCCGAAGCCCAAGAUGUAGGUCCGAUUCCUACUGGGGGCA
rnacentral:tRNA from 2 species